rnacentral:misc_RNA from 1 species
UGGUUCUGGCAUCGAUGAAGAACGCAGCGAAAUGCGAUAAGUAAUGUGAAUUGCAGAAUUCAGUGAAUCAUCGAAUCUUUGAACGCACAUUGCGCCCUCUGGUAUUCCGGAGGGCAUGCCUGUUCGAGCGUCAUUUCAACCCUCAAGCCUGGCUUGGUGAUGGGGCACUGCUUCGAGAGAAGCAGGCCCUGAAAUUCAGCGGCAAUCUCCAAGGGAAGCUUAGCGCAGUAGUUUAUUCUCGCUAUAGUACCCCCUGGGGCCUCUGCCGUUAAACCCCCAACUUCUGAAAAUUUGACCUCGGAUCAGGUAGGAAUACCCGCUGA